GAUCGCCGGCAUGGAAAUAGGCCACAAAAAGGA
rnacentral:sRNA from 1 species